CCUCAGACCCACGUGACCACAGAGCUAGCUCCGUGGAAAGGCCUCAGUACAGCCUCGGUCUGGCUUGGAAACUGCUCCGGCAUUUUGAGUCUCUGUGUUUGUGUAUUCUUCUUUGGAUAUUAUUGGUGCAAUUGUUGGACAAAAUGACUUGCAGUGGUAUUAAUUGCACUAAUAGAGCGUCCAAGGAGUCUCCACUUCAUUUUUUUCGUUAGUCCUGUCCUGCAACCCUGUUUUUGCAGCUUAGUGAAGCCAACCAUCACUAACCGGGGGGUGGUUUUGGACCCAGAGAUGCGGAUGGACUCCCACAUUAGCCAGGGAAGGACCUGAUUGGUGUCCAGAACCUGCUGAAGAAGCACCAGGCUCUGCAGGCUGAGAUCACAGGUCAUGAACCUCGCAUCAAGGCUGUCACCCAGAAAGGAGAGACCAUGGUGGAAGAAGGUCACUUCGCUGGUGAGGAAGUGAAGACUAAACUGUGGGAGCUUCAUGGACAUUGGGACACACUGAAGGCCAAGGCGUCCCAGAGGAGGCAGGACCUGGAGGACUCUCUGCAGGCCCAGCAGUACUUUGCGGAUGCUAAUGAGGCCGAGUCCUGGAUGAGGGAGAAGGAGCCCAUCGUUGGAAGUCCAGACUAAGGGAAAGACGAGGACUUGGCCGAGGCUCUCCUGAAGAAGCACGAGGCCCUGAUGUCGGACCUGUCGGCUUACGGCAGCAGCAUCCAGGCCCUGAAGGAGCAGGCCCAGUCCUGCAGGCAACAAGGUGAUCAGCAGGUGCUUUUGUCCUGCAGGACCUGAAGGCCAACGAGUCCCGCCUGAGGGACAUCAACAAGGUGGCAUCUGAACUGGAGUCAGAAGGUCUGAUGGCUGAGGAGGCUCCUAUGGUUCAGGCUCAGCAACAAGAACAUCUGGGUUCUGCUCCUGGAAAGGACGAAGCCGACUCUUAACACGGCGUCACCCUGGAAGACCGUACGGUUGGGCGUUCAGACGACGGCUAACUUUAAUUCCAUCAAGGUAAGAGGAAGCUCUUCCCUUCCUGUCUGAGCGAUCCGUCUCCAGGUUUCUUCGUCCGGCGUCCAGCCCGCUGGCGUCCACCUUCAUCUCACCUUCAUCUCAUCUCACUUCAUUUAUAGUGCAGUACUUUCACAUUAUCAUUUUCCCACACUUCUGUAUACCUGUAUUUUGUUGUUUUU